UGUUGAGCUAACCGUUCUGAGA
rnacentral:miRNA from 1 species